AGCAGCCGCGGUAAUUCCAGCUCCAAUAGCGUAUAUUAAAGUUGUUGCAGUUAAAAAGCUCGUAGUUGAAUUUCGGGAUUGACGUGAUGGUCGUGCCUUACGGGGUAUGAACUGUUGCAGUCAAUUUCUCACCUUCUGGAGAAAUAUGAUGUCCUUAAUUGGGUGUCAUAUGGAACCAGAACUUUUACCUUGAAAAAAUUAGAGUGUUUAAAGCAGGCUUAUUGCUCGAAUACAUUAGCAUGGAAUAAUAAAAUAGGACGGCAUGGUUCUAUUUUGUUGGUUUCUAGGAUCACCGUAAUGAUUAAUAGGGAUAGUUGGGGGCAUUAGUAUUCAAUUGUCAGAGGUGAAAUUCUUGGAUUUAUUGAAGACUAACUACUGCGAAAGCAUUUGCCAAGGAUGUUUUCAUUAAUCAAGAACGAAAGUUAGGGGAUCGAAGACGAUCAGAUACCGUCGUAGUCUUAACCAUAA
rnacentral:misc_RNA from 1 species